UGAAUCCAUAGGUUAAUGAGGCGAACCGGGGGAACUGAAACAUCUAAGUACCCCGAGGAAAAGAAAUCAACCGAGAUUCCCCCAGUAGCGGCGAGCGAACGGGGAGGAGCCCAGAGCCUGAAUCAGUAUGUGUGUUAGUGGAAGCGUCUGGAAAGGCGUGCGAUACAGGGUGACAGCCCCGUACACAAAAAUGCACAUGCUGUGAGCUCGAUGAGUAGGGCGGGACACGUGGUA
rnacentral:rRNA from 1 species